rnacentral:misc_RNA from 1 species
GUGUUGACAGCGGUGGAGAAGGGGAGAGGAAGAAAAUGGGGAAGAGAGAGAAGAAACAGAAGCAUAAUCAACACAGAGCCAGAGGAGCUUCUUAUUAUAACACACAAGAAGAUGAAGAUGACUUUAAUUAUCAGCAGAGUUUGCCAUCGUCUUUCUCCGAUAAAGACCCAGAACCACAAGGUGAUUUCGAAGAAGAAGAAGAAGAAGAAGAAGA